CGCCGCUCGAGCCGAUAAAAACAGAGAGAUACGAACACCGCCGCUCGCCGACGGCUAGUUGGCGGCCGUCGGCGGCGAUCCGGUGGCGCUGGCGCUGGUAGAGGGGACGCCGCUGUAGGUGCGUGAAUGGCCGGAAGCAGGCCGCUGAAUCCCCCCGCCGCUGGCAGCGGCCAGUCUCAGCUCGAGGUUAUCUUCAGAGCUACAGCUUGGAUCCGUACGUGGUCCUUACUCACUCCUAUAGACUCCAGGGAGCCUUGGUUACUGGGCGCAACCAAUGGGAGAUGGUGCCUCGGGUUAUAUUCAACCGGUUCGGAUGACGUUCGCAUAACAGGAUAGGAGUCUAGAGAGCUUAUCCUUAUUAUUACCGUAUCGGUUGUCUUUGUCCGCUUGUAAUUUUCAGGUUUAUGUACUUUGUUUUGCUCCGUUUGCGAGCUGUAAGACCUUUACGUUGAUACUUUCUGGAUUUUUAAUAAGAGGGCCGCAUGCAUCAUCAUGAUGCAGAGGCCGGGGGUAUA